UCCUUCCUUCAAAGCUCUCAAACCCUUCUAGAGGUUGAAGAAGGACACUUAGGAGAAGAAUGUGAUGGAAGAAAAGUGGAGGUGAGGCUCUCUCAACUCUCUUUUCCCUCUUCCUGAAACCCUGGUAAGAAAACUUAGGGUUUUUCACGCCAAUUGACUUCUGCCCAGAAGAGAUCACACCCCCACCCAAUUACUCUCGAUUUUUCAUGGUAAAAACCUCUUUCUGAUGUCGCACACACACCCC
rnacentral:lncRNA from 1 species